rfam:Hordeum vulgare subsp. vulgare, WGS project CAJW01000000 data, contig: morex_contig_38973
CUUAUACUCCCUUCGUCCGGAAUUACUUGUCGCAUAAAUGGAUAAAAAUGGAUGUAUUUAGAACUAAAAUACAUCUAGAUACAUUCGUUUCUUUGACAAGUAUUUUCGGAUCGAGGGAGUAUUUA